rnacentral:tRNA from 1 species
GGAGAGAUGGCCGAGUCCGGUUGAAGGCGCACGACUCGAAAUCGUGUGAGGGUAGCCCCCUCCGUGGGUUCGAAUCCCACUCUCUCCGCCA